rnacentral:rRNA from 1 species
AUGCGAGGCGCGAGAUUUCGGAUCUCGCCUGACUGCUCAGUAACACGUAGUCAACCUACCCUCGAGACGAGGAUAACCCCGGGAAACUGGGAUUAAUAUUCGAUAGGGGAGAGGUACUGGAAUGUCCUUUCUCUGAAAUGCUCCGGCGCUCGAGGAUGGGACUGCGGUGGAUUAGGUUGUUGGGGGUGUAACGGACCUCCGAGCCUAUAAUCCAUACGGGCGUUGAGAGACGGAGCCCGGAGAUGGACUCUGAGACACGAGUCCAGGCCCUACGGGGCGCAGCAGGCGCGAAACUUUUACAAUGUCUGUAAGGACGAUAAAGGGAUCCCAAGUGCCUUAGCAUUGCUAAGGCUUUUCUAGAGUGUAAAGAGCUCCAGCAACAAGGGGUGGGAAAAACGGGUGCCAGCCGCCGCGGUAAUACCCGUGCCCCAAGUGGUGGCCACGAUUAUUGGGCCUAAAGCGUCCGUAGCCGGCCGGAUGGGUCCCCGGUGAAAUCCUGCGUAAAAACGUAGGGCUUGCCGAGGAAACUAUCCGGCUUGGGACCGGGAGAGGUCGAGGCUACUCCUGGGGUAGCGGUAAAAUGCUGUAACCCCAGGAGGAGCGCCUGUGGCGAAAGCGCUCGACUGGAACGGCUCCGACGGUGAGGGACGAAAGCCAGGGGAGCAAAGCGGAUUAGAUACCCGCGUAGUCCUGGCCGUUAACGAUGCCCGUUUGGUGUAGCACCUCCUACGAGGAGGUGCUGUGCCGUAGCAUAGUGUUAAACGGGCCGCCCGGGGAGUACGUCCGCAAGGAUGAAACU